rnacentral:rRNA from 1 species
CGGGACACGUGGUAUCCUGUCUGAAUAUGGGGGGACCAUCCUCCAAGGCUAAAUACUCCUGACUGACCGAUAGUGAACCAGUACCGUGAGGGAAAGGCGAAAAGAACCCCGGCGAGGGGAGUGAAAAAGAACCUGAAACCGUGUACGUACAAGCAGUGGGAGCCUCUUUAUGGGGUGACUGCGUACCUUUUGUAUAAUGGGUCAGCGACUUAUAUUCUGUAGCAAGGUUAACCGAAUAGGGGAGCCGAAGGGAAACCGAGUCUUAACUGGGCGUUAAGUUGCAGGGUAUAGACCCGAAACCCGGUGAUCUAGCCAUGGGCAGGUUGAAGGUUGGGUAACACUAACUGGAGGACCGAACCGACUAAUGUUGAAAAAUUAGCGGAUGACUUGUGGCUGGGGGUGAAAGGCCAAUCAAACCGGGAGAUAGCUGGUUCUCCCCGAAAGCUAUUUAGGU